AUGAACGCUGGCGGCGUGCCUAAUACAUGCAAGUCGAGCGCCCCUUUAAGAGGUGACAAUCAUUGAUUGUCGGUUCCUAUGGGGAGCGGCGGACGGCUGAGUAACGCGUGGGAAUCUGCCCCAAAGUGAGGGAUAACGCACCGAAAGGUGUGCUAAUACCGCAUAUGAUCUUCGGAUUAAAGCCUUCGGGCGCUUUGGGAGGAGCCUGCGUACGAUUAGAUAGUUGGUGAGGUAAAGGCUCACCAAGUCGACGAUCGUUAGCUGGUCUGAGAGGAUGACCAGCCAGACUGGAACUGAGACACGGUCCAGACUCCUACGGGAGGCAGCAGUAAGGAAUCUUCCACAAUGGGCGAAAGCCUGAUGGAGCAACGCCGCGUGCAGGAUGAAGGCUUUCGGGUCGUAAACUGCUUUUAUGAGUGAAGAAUAUGACGGUAACUCAUGAAUAAGGGUCGGCUAACUACGU
rnacentral:rRNA from 1 species